rnacentral:misc_RNA from 1 species
GAUGAAGAACGCAGUGAAAUGCGAUAAGUAAUGCGAAUUGCAGAAUUCAGUGAGUCAUCGAAUCUUUGAACGCACAUUGCGCCCUGUGGUAUUCCGCAGGGCAUGCCUGUUCGAGCGUCAUUUCAACCCUCAAGCCCCGCUUGGUGUUGGGCCCCGCCCGCCGUGGCCGGCCCUAAAGACAGUGGCGGCGCCGCCUGGCCCUCAGCGUAGUACAGCUCUCGCUCCAGGGUCCGGCGGCCGCCUGCCAGAACCCCCCAACUCUGUGGUUGACCUCGGAUCAGGUAGGGAUACCCGCUGAACUUAAGCAUAUCAAUAAGCGGAGGA